rnacentral:rRNA from 1 species
AUGAUUGCUCUUAUCGGUAUUGCUCCUACCGAGGCUGAGGCUGAUGUAGAGGAGGGAGAAGAGAAGAAGAAGAGGGAAAGGAAAGCUGCCAGAGCUGCUUUUACGUGGAUUCAAAAUCACUUUGCGACGUGCCCUCCGGAUGCCACUGAUGAUGUGAUCCAGACACAUGCUCGUGUCUACAUGUGGUAUGUUGUGUCGAGGACUUUGUUUCCUGACUCCAGUGGCAAGAACGCUCCAUGGAUGUGGCUGAAGGCGUUGACCGUCUUCGAUAGCAAAUGGAGCUGGGGUACAGCUACUCUUGCCUACUUGUACAGACAGGUAGUUGGUCUGUUUUGUGAUCAACUCAUUCUUCAUUAG